CGCACACCGCCCGUCGCUUCAUCGAAGUUGGCUUUAGGCGAGGUGGUGCCAUGUUGGCACUAUCGAACCUGAGGUCAGCAACGAGGGAG
rnacentral:rRNA from 1 species